rnacentral:rRNA from 1 species
GACGAACGCUGGCGGCGUGCCUAAUACAUGCAAGUCGAGCGAAUGACGAGAAGCUUGCUUCUCUGAUUUAGCGGCGGACGGGUGAGUAACACGUGGGCAACCUGCCCUACAGAUUGGGAUAACUCAGGGAAACCUGGGCUAAUACCGGAUAAUACUUCGAAUCACAUGUCUUGAAGUUGAAAGGCGCUUCGGCGUAACUGUAGGAUGGGCCCGCGGUGCAUUAGCUAGUUGGUGGGGUAACGGCCUACCAAGACAACGAUGCAUAGCCGACCUGAGAGGGUGAUCGGCCACAUUGGGACUGAGACACGGCCCAAACUCCUACGGGAGGCAGCAGUAGGGAAUCUUCCACAAUGGACGAAAGUCUGAUGGAGCAACGCCGCGUGAGUGAUGAAGGUUUUCGGAUCGUAAAACUCUGUUGUAAGGGAAGAACAAGUACGUUAGGAAAUGAACGUACCUUGACGGUACCUUAUUAGAAAGCCACGGCUAACUACGUGCCAGCCGCCGCGGUAA